rnacentral:rRNA from 1 species
CCUACGGGAGGCAGCAGUGAGGAAUAUUGGUCAAUGGGCUUACGCCUGAACCAGCCAAGUAGCGUGAAGGAUGACUGCCCUAUGGGUUGUAAACUUCUUUUAUAUGGGAAUAAAGUGCAGUAUGUAUACUGCUUUGCAUGUACCUUAUGAAUAAGGAUCGGCUAACUCCGUGCCAGCAGCCGCGGUAAUACGGAGGAUCCGAGCGUUAUCCGGAUUUAUUGGGUUUAAAGGGAGCGUAGGCGGGUUGUUAAGUCAGUUGUGAAAGUUUGCGGCUCAACCGUAAAAUUGCAGUUGAUACUGGCAUCCUUGAGUACAGUAGAGGUAGGCGGAAUUCGUGGUGUAGCGGUGAAAUGCUUAGAGAUCACGAAGAACUCCGAUUGCGAAGGCAGCCUGCUGGACUGUAACUGACGCUGAUGCUCGAAAGUGUGGGUAGCAAACAGGAUUAGAUACCCUUGUAGUC